UUUAACUCUGUCGCAGUGUAGUAGUGUCAUUUCUAGUCCAAGUAUCUCAUCGGACUUAAAAUAAGACAGAAUCAACUAAAGAGGAACUUUUCAGUGAGAUAUAAGAACUGAUUUUAGACAAAAGAUCUGGAAAAUGUUAUUUCAACAAAUCUGGACAAGAUCAUUUUCACU